GUCCAGGGAUGGGAAUCGAACCCACAGUGUACCACUUACCGGGCAGAUGCCAUGUCCACUAGGCUACCCUGGA
rnacentral:tRNA from 1 species